UCUUUUUGCAGUUUUAGAGAUUGAACCCAGGGGCACUCUCCCACUGAGUUAAUCUCCAGCUAUUUUUAAUUUUUAUUGCAAGACAGAAAGUCUCCCAAAGUUGCCAAGGCUGACCUCAAACUUGAGAUCCCCCUGCCUUAGCCUCCUGUAUAACUGAGAUUAUAGGCAUGUGUUACUGCACCCAGCCAGUCGGGACUCUCUUAGAUACAGGUGACAGCCACCCAGGAAACAGCUUGAAAAGGGAAAUUUAUCAGUUUAUGUAUCUGGAAGGCUGAGGGGGCUUCAGGCCUAGUCUGAUCCAGCUCCUUUGACAUGUCAUCCAAAUCUAGCUUCUCUCCAUCUUCUGCUUGUCUCUGGUUUGGGUUCAUUCUCAGUUUCGUAGGAUUGGCAAGUUGGACCAAACUGCUGCAGAUUCAUGUCUGUCUGGUUUCAGGAAGGGGAAAAGGACUCCUCAGGCACUGAAAAUAGGGGCACUGCUAACAGAAGGGGCUCCUGAACUGGCAGGCACAUAGCUACACCCAACAGGCACUGACCCAAACACUCAGAAAGGUGCUUGUAACUUCUACAUUGUAGAGGGUUGUUCGGUGUCCCGCCAAAAACUUCAUGUCCAACUGGAACCUCGUCAAGUGACCUUCUUAGAAUAUUACUUUGUGGGUGUGUGCGGGUGUGGUGCUGGGCACGGAACCCAGGCCCUUGUACACGCUAGACAAUUGCUCUACCACUGAGCUACAUCCCCAGCCUGAGAAUGUGCCCUUAUUUGGAAACAGUCUUUGCAGAUGUAAUUGGCUAAGGACCUCAAGAUGUGAUCAUCCUGCGCUUAGGACAGGCCCUAAAUUCCAUGACUGGUGGAGGAAAGGACACAGAGACUCCGAGGAAGGCUGGGUGGCAAAGGAGGCAGUGACAGGUGACACAGUUACAGUCAAACAGCACGGACACUGCGGGCUGCAGUCCCCUUCUGAGCCUUCUAAGGGACCAACCCACCACUGGCUCCCAAACUGCGAGACUGUAAAUUCCUACAGCUUGCAGCCACCCAGCUGUGCAGGCCAGGGACACUGGUAGGCCCAUCUCCCAGGAUGUCAACUGCCCUCAGAGGAAAGGGCUGGCAUGACCGAGAGCCUUCCCUUCCCACUGCGUAGACAGGGGCCGGGCCUCUGGGAGCAGCCUCCGAGGCUCUGCCAGCGCUGGACGCAGAAUCUGUUUUCCAUAAACAUUUUUUUGAACUGAAUUUUAUUUUUCUCACCCAAGAAGAGAGUCUGGCAGAGGAUGCCCAGGCGGGUGGAGCGCUGGGGGAAGAGGGUGGCUGCUGUGGCGUUUCCUUCUUUCCUGGCACUUUUGGUCCUUUUGGAUUUCCCUCUACUAAACAAGGAGGAAAUGGAAUCUAAAAAUGGGUUCCUGCACUGCCCCCCCCAGAGCCCGGGAGGCUCUGAGAACAGAAGGGAUGGUGUCUGGUGGCCAGGACUUGGUGCCCUGAGACUGGGCCCUCCCAUUGUCCCCUCCCAGGUCCACGAGGGCCUAGUGAGAAAGGGGCCUUACCUGGAGCUACCCCAGGACCACCCUUCUGCAGAGCCCAGGAGGCUGGUGACAUUGUGACCCUUCCCCUGUGCCAAAGAAGCAGCAGCUCAGGGAGGGUGGGGGGCCCAGCUGACUAGGGAUGGCCAGGGGCUGCCCUGGGAGACCCCCUGGGGCACCUCACCCAGAUUUCAGAUUUCUGGCCCCAGAACAGUGAGAGAGUAAAUAUUUCUACCAUUUAAAGCACCAGCUUUGCAACACUUUGUUACAGCAGCCACAGCAUACUCAUACCUCAAUGAGGGGCUAAACGAGAUUUCACAAAACCAGCACCUGCUUCAAGGUAGACAGAGCACUGUGAUGCCCCUCCAGGAGCCCCCACGGGCCCAGGCGGGUGGCUGAAGUCACGUCUGGCUGCCUGCACUGUGUGGCUUCACUCUCGCGGCUGCAGGUUGUCUCCAGUGGCCCUCCCUCCAGAAACCCGCUGUGCACAAGAAUCCUUGUCAGGCUCUACCCAAGACCGUCCGUCGGGUGGUGGGCGGUGGGUGGGCGGACCAGUACUUUCUUUCCCCUGGCCUGGUCCCCAGCCGGACAAACUCUGGGACCCCAGGAAUCCUCUCACUGCAAAAGACAGAUGAGCGCCGCCUGAGUCUUCUCUGGGUCUUGCCUGGCUGCGGGCCUCAAGUUGCUGAGCCCAGGGAGAAGGGUAAUGUUUGUUGUCAACACUGUGACCAGAAGAAAUGGAGUGGUCUCAAGUGCACUGCUGUUCCUUCCGGAGGGACAGCCACAGAGCCACAGGUCCAGGGCUCUGAACGAGGAGCCGCGUCAGGGGUCAGGGAAACUGGUGAGAGAUGCAGAGGGCUCACGUGCCUGUGCCCUGCGUCUGGCUUCCUGGAUCAAGUGUCAGACGGCCAGAGAUGCGUCCGAGUCCAGUGCAGACCAGAGCAGCUCUUUCUAUGGGCCCUGCUCUGGGCACGGCCUCAGCACCAUUAUGCAGUUGGGGACACUGAGGCUCCAGAGCAGGCCUUGCCCAGAGCCCCACAGUGGUGGGCAGGGCUCUACUGGCCUACUGAGGGGACACUCCCCAGGGGCUCUCCCCCAACCUAUGGGCCCUUGGCUGCCCUGGCUGUGUGCCAGCGUAAAGGCUGCUGUCCCCAAGCGCUAAGGGCCCCUCUGGUCUGGGGAGGCACCAUCAGAGGAGGUCCCAGGAGAGGGGCCCUGCGUGGCCCUGCCCGUCCAAGCUUGUUCCUCCAGAUUCUCUAGGCUCUGGUGACACCUGCUGGCCACACAGCCCGUCACCAUGGCAACUGUGCCUGGGCUUCCCAGGUCUCCCAGCGAGGUUGGAAUGGGGUGGGGUCUCCCAGGUGGACUGGCGGGGGUUCAGAACCAGAGAGUCCAGGCCUCUCCCAGAAGCCCGCCCUCUCCCUCCUCCUGUGUCACCCCAGAACCAGGCAGGGGGCCUCACCCAGCCCCCAGUGUGCAUCCCGGGCCCCCAGUUCCUCCCACCCCCAGGCCUCCCGGGUCCCUGCCUCAGUGAUGGUGACCCCACCCCACCACCCUUUGGGCUCGCAGACCAGAGCCACGGAGGGUCCCAGGUCCCGUCCUCUGGGCUUCCUCCUGAGCACCUCGGUGUCCUCUUGGCUUCACCUCUUCAGCUACCCCCUGACCCCAGCCUCUGCCUCGCACCUGGGCAGCUGUCCCUGGGCCACGUCACACCCGCUCCUGUGUGCGCCCCACCAGGGGAGGUCCAGACCCCCACGGAUCUGCACACGCUCAGCCCACCUGGAACGCUCUUCCCGCUCCCGCUGUCUUGCAAACACCCACUUAGCAAAGCCUUCCAGACAUUCUGCAGGCUGUGACCGCCCUGAGCCCUGCUGCCAUCGCCUGGGGACUGUCCCACCGCUGCCAGUGCUGUACGAUGGGGAGCCGCCUCCCGCCCCUUCUCCAGGCCUCAGGGCCUCCCCAGCAGGGGGACCCCAGCCCACCGCUGCUCCCAGGGCCUCCAGGGAGAGGCAGGGUCCACUCCUUCCCUGCCCAGGCCCAGCAGAGGAGGCGAAUGUUGCUGGAUGACCCGGGCUCCUCAAGUCCGUCCUGGUCACUCCUGGUCCCAGGUGCCCUGCCCGGCGUAGCCAGAACCCACCGUCCUUGGGGUUCUGAGUCAAACCUGUGACAGAGUGAGGGAGGGGGCGGGAGGGGGUCCUCGGUGCAGGGGGCUGAUCCCGGGCAUCAGGCCACCACCUCCAUUGAUCUCUUGGGAAGGGGCAGAGCUCAGGAGCCAGAGCCCUGGUUCUGCCCGGCUGGACCCAGGAUGGCGCCUGCUCCCAGGCCUCACCCUGCCGGUCUGCCCUGCACUGCCUGGGUUCACUGCACUGUGACAGCUGGGCGAUGUCUAGCCAGCUGUGGUGGCAAAGCGGGGUGACCAGCCCUUCCUCUGACGUCCCCAUGCCCUGGGCACGGUUCAGUGCUGCUGGGGGCUGGUCCGGUGCCUGUCCCGGCCCUCCACCCAGCAGCCUGGGGUCAGCCCUGUGCCAGGCCUGGAAUCUCCCCAGUAGAGCCCCAAACCUCAACUGCCCACCAAAGAGACUGGCCCCACAGAGGACAGAGGGGUGGGGCCUGCCCGCCACUCCCUGCGCUCCCCGUGCCGGGCACGGUACGAAUUGCUGUGUCCACCCACCCAACCCACCCACCCACAGAGGCUGCGGUGUCAGGGGAGUUUGACCAAGUGCAGGCACAGCCAGGUGAACAGUGGCCACACAUCAGGCUGGGAGGGGCUUGGGGACAGGACAGCAGCCCGCCAGCCCUGCCAGGCCAUGCUAGACCGGGCCCCGCCACGGGGCUGCAGCCCAGGUUCUUGUGCUCUUAUUUCCCUCUGCACUUCUCCCUCUGUCCCUGCCUACCUCUCUCUUUGUUUUGGUCUCUGCCUCUGUCUGUUGUCUGUCUGUCUCUCCGCUACUGCAGGUCUCUGCUGAGAAGAGGGACAAGAGCCCGUGCAGCUGGCCUCUGGCAAGGUGGGGCUGCCUCACCCAGCAGAGGCCCCGGCUCCCUGCGGGGGCAGCCCGGACACAGGGCCUGGUGGGACUCAGCGGCUCCCCUGCCUGGCCUGGGGUGCUGUGUGCCUGCUCAGGGAGCCCCUCUGGCCACAGGCCCUGGCGGGUCCUAAGCCCCUGACCAACGCAAAGCCAGUCCUGCAGCUGGGCUCUGCCUUGGCCAUCGAGGAACUGACCCUGUCCCUGCCCCAGGCCACAAAGCGACCUCCAGGCUCUGCCCAGUCUGGAUGGAUUGCACAGCAAUCAGGGGACAGUGCCUGUCCCCGGCCCUCACUCAGCAGCCUGGGGUCAGCCCUGUGCCCCAGGACACAGGCGCCCUCCCAGCAUCAUCCUGUGAGGGUGGGAUCCAGCCCUGGCCUCCCGAAUCCAUCGCCCCAGACCCUCCGGCUUCCCUGCACUGGACACAGCAGGCCCAGCCCCACAGGCCAUGUGCUGCUUCUCUUCUGGAACAUCCACCCCUGUCGAGGGGCCUGCACGGCCCCAUGAACUGGGCAGUUCCCACGGAGACACUGCAGAGAAGGACCACAUGCAGCUUUUGACACACUUGAGAGAAAAGCUUGAGGUUUUGAGUAUUGAAAACAAAGUCAUUUUUUCUUUUUCUUUCUUUCCUUCCUUCCUCCUUCUUCCUUCCCUUCCCUUCCCCCUUCCCUUCUCUUCCUUCUUGUACUGGGGAUUAAACCCAGAGGCACUUUACCCAGAGCC